CCAACACUUGUUCUUUUCAAUAGUUCACACCGGUAACGGGAAUUCCGUGCGUCCCUGUUGAGGGGUUUGCCCCUCAGCAGAUUCAAGUCGGAAGCUGCCCCGCAACUGUAAACCCGGUUACGUCCCGCCUCGCGGGACGCGAUUCGUCUCUGCCAUGAAGUAGUCACUGUCUCGCCCGAUGCGGGAUGGGAAGACGGCAAGAGAUCGGGAAAAGCCAGGAGACCGACCGGAAGUGCAGCUUUAGA
rnacentral:ncRNA from 1 species